UAGCACAGAGAGCUUGCUCUCGGGUGACGAGUGGCGGACGGGUGAGUAAUGUCUGGGGAUCUGCCCGAUAGAGGGGGAUAACCACUGGAAACGGUGGCUAAUACCGCAUAACGUCGCAAGACCAAAGAGGGGGACCUUCGGGCCUCUCACUAUCGGAUGAACCCAGAUGGGAUUAGCUAGUAGGCGGGGUAAUGGCCCACCUAGGCGACGAUCCCUAGCUGGUCUGAGAGGAUGACCAGCCACACUGGAACUGAGACACGGUCCAGACUCCUACGGGAGGCAGCAGUGGGGAAUAUUGCACAAUGGGCGCAAGCCUGAUGCAGCCAUGCCGCGUGUAUGAAGAAGGCCUUCGGGUUGUAAAGUACUUUCAGCGGGGAGGAAGGCGGUGUGGUUAAUAACCGCGCCGAUUGACGUUACCCGCAGAAGAAGCACCGGCUAACUCCGUGCCAGCAGCCGCGGUAAUACGGAGGGUGCAAGCGUUAAUCGGAAUUACUGGGCGUAAAGCGCACGCAGGCGGUCUGUUAAGUCAGAUGUGAAAUCCCCGGGCUUAACCUGGGAACUGCAUUUGAAACUGGCAGGCUUGAGUCUCGUAGAGGGGGGUAGAAUUCCAGGUGUAGCGGUGAAAUGCGUAGAGAUCUGGAGGAAUACCGGUGGCGAAG
rnacentral:rRNA from 1 species